rnacentral:rRNA from 1 species
CCUACGGGCGGCUGCAGUGGGGAAUAUUGCACAAUGGGCGCAAGCCUGAUGCAGCCAUGCCGCGUGUGUGAAGAAGGCCUUCGGGUUGUAAAGCACUUUCAGCGGGGAGGAAGGCGGUGAGGUUAAUAACCUCAUCGAUUGACGUUACCCGCAGAAGAAGCACCGGCUAACUCCGUGCCAGCAGCCGCGGUAAUACGGAGGGUGCAAGCGUUAAUCGGAGUUACUGGGCGUAAAGCGCACGCAGGCGGUCUGUCAAGUCGGAUGUGAAAUCCCCGGGCUCAACCUGGGAACUGCAUUCGAAACUGGCAGGCUAGAGUCUUGUAGAGGGGGGUAGAAUUCCAGGUGUAGCGGUGAAAUGCGUAGAGAUCUGGAGGAAUACCGGUGGCGAAGGUGGCCCCCUGGACAAAGACUGACGCUCAGGUGCGAAAGCGUGGGGAGCAAACAGGAUUAGAUACCCCUGUAGUC